rnacentral:rRNA from 1 species
UAGGGAAUAUUGCGCAAUGGGGGAAACCCUGACGCAGCGACGCCGCGUGAGUGAUGAAGGACUUCGGUUCGUAAAGCUCUGUCGCAGGGGAAUAAAUUCGAAUGUACCCUGUAAGAAAGGAUCGGCUAACUUCGUGCCAGCAGCCGCGGUAAGACGAGGGAUCCAAGCGUUGUUCGGAAUCAUUGGGCGUAAAGCGGGUGUAGGCGGCUUUAUAAGUCAGAUGUGAAAGCCCUGGGCUCAACCCGGGAAGUGCAUUUGAUACUGUAUAGCUAGAGUAUGGGAGAGGGAAGUGGAAUUUCCGGUGUAGCGGUGAAAUGCGUAGAGAUCGGAAAGAACACUCGUGGCGAAGGCGGCUUUCUGGCCCAUAACUGACGCUGAGGUGCGAAAGCAUGGGGAGCAAACAGGAUUAGAUACCCCCGUAGUCCCUGAGCGGGCUGGCAAGGCGCAU